UACGAAGGGGGCUAGCGUUGCUCGGAAUCACUGGGCGUAAAGCGCACGUAGGCGGAUUGCUAAGUCAGGGGUGAAAUCCUGGAGCUCAACUCCAGAACUGCCUUUGAUACUGGCGAUCUCGAGUCCGGGAGAGGUGAGUGGAACUGCGAGUGUAGAGGUGAAAUUCGUAGAUAUUCGCAAGAACACCAGUGGCGAAGGCGGCUCACUGGCCCGGUACUGACGCUGAGGUGGCGAAAGCGUGGGAGCAAACAGG
rnacentral:rRNA from 1 species